rnacentral:rRNA from 1 species
AUGCAGGUCUCGCCGAUGCGCCUGAGCGGGGGGAGCCGGUACGCGUCGAGGGACGGUGCCGACGCGAGCAUCGAGUUCGUGCACUACACCGUGCACAUCCCGCCCACGCCGGACAGGACCACAGCGUCCGCGUCCACGGACGCGCCCGUAGCUGAGGAGGAGGGGGAGGUGCUGCCGGAGAGGAGCUACGUCUCCGGCACCAUCUUCACCGGCGGCCUCAACUGCGCGACGCGCGCCCACUGCUACAUGGACUGCGUCGCCGCCUUCGGCAACUGCCCAGGCUGCAAGGAGGCCUACUCCGCCGGCAGCGACACCGACGACUCCGUCGACGAGGACGACGACGACGCCAUCUCCUCGUUGGAGGAGAGGGACCAGAUGCCCAUGACAUCCAUGUCCAAGCGCUUCUCCAUGGUGCACUCCAUCAAGAUGCCCAUGCCCAGCAGCAACGGCAAGCCGGCCGACUUCGACCACGCCCGGUGGCUCUUCGAGACCAAGGGCACCUACAGCUACGGCAACGCUCUAUGGCCCGAGAACGAGCACGGCGGUGGCGGCAACAGCGCUUGGGCCACCUCCAGAUUCGUCGGCAUCGAGGAGCCGCCCAACUUUGGUGCCCGCUGCUGCCGGCCCCUGAUGAGGAAGACCAGUGUCUCUCAGGCCAUCCUCAGCCCAUACAGGAUGCUGAUCGCCAUCCGGCUGGUGGCGUUGGGGUGUGGUUCACGCUUCUCAUGGCUGCUCGACAGCCUCCCCAAGCUCUGCCCUGUCAACCGCUCCUACGACCUCGACGUCCUCGCCGACCGCUUCAAGUUGCCCACCGCACGCAACCCCAAGGGCUGCUCCGACCUCCCCGGCAUCGACGUUUUCAUCUCCACCGCUGACCCGGAGAAGGAGCCACCGCUUGUCACCGCGAACACCAUCCUCUCCAUCCUCGCCGCCGACUACCCGCUUCGCGCGCACGUGGGUGUUGUUCUGCCGGAAGCACGACGUCGAGCCGCGCUGCCCGAGUCAUACUUCGGCCAGAAGCGGGAUUUCCUCAAGAACAAGGUGCGGCUGGACUUCAUCCGCGAGAGUUGGAAGGUGAAGCGGGAGUACGAUGAGUUCAAGAUGCAGGUCAACUCACUGACGGAGGCGCUCCGACGGCGCUCCGACGCGUACAAUGCCGGCGAGGAGCUGCGAGCAAGAAGGCACCUUCAAGAGGAGGUUGUGGCUACCGGUGGCGCGUUGGGAGCAGCUCCGUUGGCAGAGACUGGGGCUGUGAAGGCGACAUGGAUGUCUGACGGCUCCCAGUGGGCCGACACUUGGCUCACCGAGGCGACGGAUCACCCGCGCGGCAACCACGCUGGCAUCAUUCAGGUGAUUGAUCGAAUCCAUAGAUGUUGUUGCAGCUAA